AGACAGCAGUCGCCGCGGUAAUACAGAGGGUGCGAGCGUUAAUCGGAUUUACUGGGCGUAAAGCGUGCGUAGGCGGCUUCUUAAGUCGGAUGUGAAAUCCCUGAGCUUAACUUAGGAAUUGCAUUCGAUACUGGGAAGCUAGAGUAUGGGAGAGGAUGGUAGAAUUCCAGGUGUAGCGGUGAAAUGCGUAGAGAUCUGGAGGAAUACCGAUGGCGAAGGCAGCCAUCUGGCCUAAUACUGACGCUGAGGUACGAAAGCAUGGGGAGCAAACAGGAUUAGAUACCCGCGUAGUCCCUGUCUCUUAUAA
rnacentral:rRNA from 1 species